GGCUAAGCAUUUAAAUAUUGUAUAUUUAAAUAUUGUAUAUUAUAGGGGACAGUUUAUUCAAGCUUCAAAAUGGUACAAUUUUGGCAACAGUAUCAAGUCCUGUGAGUGCACUUCCAACUUCCAACAACGUAUUUUAUAUUUUGAGGUCGGAGUGACACCUAGGUAAUAAACAAGACUGGGAGCAGGAGUGCGGGACCCAGCGUGAAUUACAUAUAUAUUUAUGCAUGUUAAGGUGAGUGCAGCCAACCCCCUCUUGUUUUAUAUAUAUAUUUGGGAGUCUAGCCAACUCCUUGGUUUUGCACCCCUCCCUGUCACAGGUGCCUCAUCCCAGGGCCCUAUUUAGCCUUGUACUGCAGAGAGCCCCAGAUGGAAUUUCUUUCCCCAAGUAGGUUAAUCUCAUAAGAGCAGACAUUAGGCUGUUAGUGUAGGACCUGCCAAAGAUGGGGUACAUUGGCGUUGUGGCAGGCUUAUGCAAUGUAUGAUCAUAUAAUGUAAAUAAACCCCCAUUAUUUUUGCCUAGAUUAGGUGUUUUUAAAAAAACAAAUAAAAUCUUUCAACAUUGAAGUUGCUGUUUAAUGGAUAGGUGAGUGCGCUGGAU